GAUGAACGCUGGCGGCGUGCCUAAUACAUGCAAGUCGAGCGAACAGACGAGGAGCUUGCUCCUCUGACGUUAGCGGCGGACGGGUGAGUAACACGUGGAUAACCUACCUAUAAGACUGGGAUAACUUCGGGAAACCGGAGCUAAUACCGGAUAACAUGUUGAACCGCAUGGUUCAACAGUGAAAGACGGUCUUGCUGUCACUUAUAGAUGGAUCCGCGCCGCAUUAGCUAGUUGGUAAGGUAACGGCUUACCAAGGCAACGAUGCGUAGCCGACCUGAGAGGGUGAUCGGCCCCACUGGAACUGAGACACGGUCCAGACUCCUACGGGAGGCAGCAGUAGGGAAUCUUCCGCAAUGGGCGAAAGCCUGACGGAGCAGCGCCGCGUGAGUGAAGAAGGUCUUCGGAUCGUAAAACUCUGUUAUUAGGGAAGAACAAAUGUGUAAGUAACUAUGCACGUCUUGACGGUACCUAAUCAGAAAGCCACGGCUAACUACGUG
rnacentral:rRNA from 1 species